rnacentral:tRNA from 2 species
GCCGGGAUGGCGGAAUUGGUAGACGCAGCGGACUUAAAAUCCGCUGAAGUAUUAAGCUUCGUGCGGGUUCAAGUCCCGCUCCCGGCA